ACACUGGAUCAGCAGUUGUACUGCAGAACUUGUUUCAUUCUAUUGUUGAACGAUAAAGGUACUUGAAAUGAAAAACCUAUUCUACUUGACAAUUUUCGCUACAUUGAUAGUAGUAAUAAUGUCUCGUCAUUAUCACACCACAAAAAGUGAUGAAGAACUUGAGACUACAAAGGUGAAGGAAUCACUUCCAGAACCUGUUGAAGAAAACACAGCCGGGAAGGGGGAGAAUAUCCAGAAACCUUGUGCUGAAGAAUGUUGCAACGGUUACCAAUGUGCAAUCUUCUGCAGAUUGUUUGGAUACUCAUUCGGAUACUGUUACGGAGAUCAAUGUCGCUGCUAUUGAUCAUGAAUUGUAGAGCAGAAGAUCAGUAAAUCUAUGAAACCUACAAAAAUA